UUUUAAUGUUGAGUAUGUUCUGGUAGUAAGAGAUGCUCUUGAAACUUAAAGGUUUUGGCGGUUUUCUUGUUCUUUUCAGAGGAACUUGUUCUUUAAUCGAUACUCCUCGUGCAAUUUUACUUAAUUUGUGAUGGUUUGUAUAUCGCUGUUGAUGAUAUCUUUGUUGUAUGAUAUUGCUUGGUUUGGUUCCAGUUAAAUCAAGUCAAGGUGCAGCUUAAUUAAGGUUGAAAUGAGUUACUGUAGGUUAUUAUGGAGGAUAAGGUGAGAUUGUAUCUUGAGAUUGGAUUUGAAAGUAAUUUUGGAAAGUAAGUAAGUUUUGGUGAAAUAAAGUUUAAGGAAAUGU
rnacentral:rRNA from 1 species